rnacentral:rRNA from 1 species
GACGAGGGGGGCAGCGUUGUUCGGAAUUAUUGGGCGUAAAGAGCUCGUAGGCGGUUUGUCGCGUCUGCCGUGAAAGUCCGGGGGCUCAACUCCGGAUCUGCGGUGGGUACGGGCAGACUAGAGUGCAGUAGGGGAGACUGGAAUUCCUGGUGUAGCGGUGAAAUGCGCAGAUAUCAGGAGGAACACCGAUGGCGAAGGCAGGUCUCUGGGCUGUAACUGACGCUGAGGAGCGAAAGCAUGGGGGAGCGAACAGG